rnacentral:rRNA from 1 species
GGAGGGUGCAAGCGUUAUCCGGAUUCACUGGGUUUAAAGGGUGCGUAGGUGGGUUGGUAAGUCAGUGGUGAAAUCCCCGAGCUUAACUUGGGAACUGCCAUUGAUACUAUCAGUCUUGAAUAUUGUGGAGGUUAGCGGAAUAUGUCAUGUAGCGGUGAAAUGCUUAGAUAUGACAUAGAACACCAAUUGCGAAGGCAGCUGGCUACGCAUAUAUUGACACUGAGGCACGAAAGCGUGGGGAUCAAACAGGAUUAGAUACCCUGGUGGUCCACGCCCUAAACUAUGGAUACUCGACAUCAGCGAUACACUGUUGGUGUCUGAGCGAAAGCAUUAAGUAUCCCACCUGGGAAGUACGAUCGCAAGAUUG